UGAGGAAUAUUGGUCAAUGGGCGGAAGCCUGAACCAGCCAAGUAGCGUGCAGGAUGACGGCCCUACGGGUUGUAAACUGCUUUUAUACGGGAAUAACGCGCCUUACGUGUAGGGCUUUGCAUGUACCGUAUGAAUAAGGACCGGCUAAUUCCGUGCCAGCAGCCGCGGUAAUACGGAAGGUCCGGGCGUUAUCCGGAUUUAUUGGGUUUAAAGGGAGCGUAGGCCGCAUGUCAAGCGUGCUGUGAAAUGUCCGGGCUCAACCCGGGCCUUGCAGCGCGAACUGGCGUGCUUGAGUCCGCGGAAAGCAGGCGGAAUUCGUCGUGUAGCGGUGAAAUGCUUAGAUAUGACGAAGAACCCCGAUUGCGAAGGCAGCUUGCUGCAGCGGAACUGACGCUGAUGCUCGAAAGCGCGGGUAUCGAACA
rnacentral:rRNA from 1 species